ensembl:ncRNA K02G10.16 ncRNA
GGUCACACAGGAAUUGACGUGACAUAGCUUAAAGAAUGACACAAAGAAAGAUAUCAAUAUUUGACUGAAGAGCGUCAAAGUUCAACAAAUGUUUGUGAAUAUAAGUAUAGAAAAGCAGUCCUCCCUUAUCCCCCAAUGACUUA